rnacentral:rRNA from 1 species
UAUGAAGGGGGCAAGCGUUGUUCGGAAUUACUGGGCGUAAAGGGCGCGUAGGCGGUCUAUCAAGUCAGGCGUGAAAUUCCCGGGCUCAACCCGGGGGCUGCGCUUGAUACUGAUGGACUUGAAUGCGGGAGAGGAUAGUGGAAUUCCCAGUGUAGAGGUGAAAUUCGUAGAUAUUGGGAAGAACACCAGUGGCGAAGGCGGCUAUCUGGCCCGUUAUUGACGCUGAGGCGCGAAAGCGUGGGGAGCAAACAGGAUUAGAUACCCUGUAGU